GAAGGAAUUGGCCCUUCGGCGCCGUCCUGCGGGGGAUGGUGCCAAACCGCCACAUGCUGCGUUGGUUGACGACCGUCGUGGUGAGCGAUGUGGAAAAGGCGGCGGUAGAGCUGUCAGGU
rnacentral:ncRNA from 1 species